CAGAGGAUUGAGGGGUGCCGCUGACCAUGAAUAGCGGCUGAGAUUAAACCCUUGGCACCUGAACCGGGUCAUACCGGCGUAGGAACGAUUCCUAAUCUCACA
rnacentral:ncRNA from 1 species